CCUACGGGGGGCUGCAGUGAGGAAUAUUGGUCAAUGGACGAGAGUCUGAACCAGCCAAGUAGCGUGAAGGAUGACUGCCCUAUGGGUUGUAAACUUCUUUUAUAUGGGAAUAAAAUGUUCCACGUGUGGGAUUUUGUAUGUACCAUAUGAAUAAGGAUCGGCUAACUCCGUGCCAGCAGCCGCGGUAAUACGGAGGAUCCGAGCGUUAUCCGGAUUUAUUGGGUUUAAAGGGAGCGUAGGUGGAUUGUUAAGUCAGUUGUGAAAGUUUGCGGCUCAACUGUAAAAUUGCAGUUGAAACUGGCAGUCGUGAGUACAGUAGAGGUGGGCGGAAUUCGUGGUGUAGCGGUGAAAUGCUUAGAUAUCACGAAGAACUCCGAUUGCGAAGGCAGCUCACUGGACUGCAACUGACACUGAGGCUCGAAAGUGUGGGUAUCAAACAGGAUUAGAUACCCGAGUAGUC
rnacentral:rRNA from 1 species